GCUCCGUUGGUGAACCAGCGGAGGGAUCAUUACAGAGUUUAUUAUAACUCCUAAACCCAUGUGAACCUACCUUCUGUUGCCUCGGCAGGCAAGUCGUAUCUUGCUACCCUAUAGGACCCUAUCUUGUAAGACGUUACCUUAUAAGGUCCUAUCCGGUAGAGAGAUGCGGUACUACCUGCCGGUGGACUGAAAAAAAAUUCCGUUUAAUAAAUGGUAUUCUGAAUCAUUAUAUGGAAAUUAAGUUAAAACUUUCAACAACGGAUCUCUUGGUUCUG
rnacentral:misc_RNA from 1 species